rnacentral:rRNA from 1 species
GAUGAACGCUGGCGGCGUGCCUAAUACAUGCAAGUCGAGCGAACGGACGAGAAGCUUGCUUCUCUGAUGUUAGCGGCGGACGGGUGAGUAACACGUGGAUAACCUACCUAUAAGACUGGGAUAACUUCGGGAAACCGUAGCUAAUACCGGAUAAUAUUUUGAACCGCAUGGUUCAAAAGUGAAAGACGGUCUUGCUGUCACUUAUAGAUGGAUCCGCGCUGCAUUAGCUAGUUGGUAAGGUAACGGCUUACCAAGGCAACGAUGCAUAGCCGACCUGAGAGGGUGAUCGGCCACACUGGAACUGAGACACGGUCCAUACUCCUACGGGAGGCAGCAGUAGGGAAUCUUCCGCAAUGGGCGAAAGCCUGACGGAGCAACGCCGCGUGAGUGAUGAAGGUCUUCGGAUCGUAAAACUCUGUUAUUAGGGAAGAACAUAUGUGUAAGUAACUGUGCACAUCUUGACGGUACCUAAUCAGAAAGCCACGGCUAACUACGUG